GACGAACGCUGGCGGCGUGCUUAACACAUGCAAGUCGAACGGUGAAGGGACCGGUUUUUGCUGGUUCUGGAUGAGUGGCGAACGGGUGAGUAACACGUGAGUAACCUGCCCCCUUCUUCUGGAUAACCGCAUGAAAGUGUGGCUAAUACGGGAUAUUCUGCGCCUGCUGCAUGGUGGGUGUGGGAAAGAUAUUGUUUCGGUGGGGGAUGGGCUCGCGGCCUAUCAGCUUGUUGGUGGGGUGAUGGCCUACCAAGGCGGUGACGGGUAGCCGGCCUGAGAGGGUGGACGGUCACACGGGGACUGAGACACGGCCCAGACUCCGACGGGAGGCAGCAGUGGGGAAUAUUGCACAAUGGGCGCAAGCCUGAUGCAGCGACGCCGCGUGAGGGAUGGAGGCCUUCGGGUUGUAAACCUCUUUCGCCAGUGAAGCAGGCCUGUCCCUUUUGUGGGUGGGUUGACGGUAGCUGGAUAAGAAGCGCCGGCUAACUACGUG
rnacentral:rRNA from 1 species